rnacentral:rRNA from 1 species
UACGUAGGGUGCGAGCGUUAAUCGGAAUUACUGGGCGUAAAGCGUGCGCAGGCGGUUUUGCAAGCCGGAUGUGAAAUCCCCGGGCUCAACCUGGGAAUGGCAUUCGGGACUGCAAGGCUGGAGUGCGGCAGAGGAGACUGGAACUCCUGGUGUAGCAGUGAAAUGCGCAGAUAUCAGGAGGAACACCGGUGGCGAAGGCGGGUCUCUGGGCCGAUACUGACGCUGAGGAGCGAAAGCGUGGGGAGCGAACAGG